rnacentral:rRNA from 1 species
UGGGGAAUUUUGGACAAUGGGGGAAACCCUGAUCCAGCCAUCCCGCGUGUGCGAUGAAGGCCUUCGGGUUGUAAAGCACUUUUGGCAGGAAAGAAACGUCGCGGGUUAAUACCCCGCGAAACUGACGGUACCUGCAGAAUAAGCACCGGCUAACUACGUGCCAGCAGCCGCGGUAAUACGUAGGGUGCAAGCGUUAAUCGGAAUUACUGGGCGUAAAGCGUGCGCAGGCGGUUCGGAAAGAAAGAUGUGAAAUCCCAGAGCUUAACUUUGGAACUGCAUUUUUAACUACCGGGCUAGAGUGUGUCAGAGGGAGGUGGAAUUCCGCGUGUAGCAGUGAAAUGCGUAGAUAUGCGGAGGAACACCGAUGGCGAAGGCAGCCUCCUGGGAUAACACUGACGCUCAUGCACGAAAGCGUGGGGAGCAAACAGGAUUAGAUACCCUGGUAGUCCACGCCCUAAACGAUGUCAACUAGCUGUUGGGGCCUUCGGCCUUGGUAGCGCAGCUAACGCGUGAAGUUGACCGCCUGGGGAGUACGGUCGCAAGAUUAAAACUCAAAUGAAUUGACGGGG